GAACAGAAUCACUUACAGGAGAGGCAAAGAAGCCAAAAGCGAAACGGUGGAUGAAAAAGUGCGAGCGCCGGGAAAGGAAAAGCGAGCAUACGUGCGGAGUAACGUCAAAGGCGUGAGAAGGGGAGUGACGAGUGGCGAGCAGCAUGAUGGGAUGAAAAAGCCGAAAGGCAGGAACGAAACGGGGAAGGAUCCCGGCGGACAGUAGUGCGAGCUAUCGGGUAACAUUCGUCAUGGUGAGUGCGGAGACGUCGACCUCGCAGAUACGCCGAUCAGACUAGUCCGCAGUCCUUCUCUCGUAUAACGACAGAAACCAGCAACCAGCAACCGUCAACCGUCAAUCGUCAACUAACCAGCAACGCGUCAACACACUGGAACAUCUUCGUAACCCUUGGAAACGACUUUUUCGAAGGAUUAACAUUCUCCCGGCCAUUCCGGUAUGGAGCAAGAUUUUCCAGAAACAUAGUUCACCGACAAUUUCGUCAACAGUCCAACUAGGUUUAUUGGAGUACGAAGUAAAGAUAUGGGAGAUUCUGGAGGGACAUGGAAUGGUUAUGGAAGGGAACAUCUGAAUUAUGCUACGUAACUAUGCUACAUUGUCUCGUACGUAGGACAGAAUGGAUCAUGUUAUCAACAAAAGGAAAGUGUUAUUAGUCGCUUAUUAUAUGGAAGCAUUGAAUGAAAAUGAUAGUCGAGUAGAGGACGUGAAAAUGACUGAUAAUCAACUUCGGCGGUCAACUCAAAAAUAGGCUAUUUAACCUACUCGAAUGCUCGUAUCGCAUUUUACGAACAAAAUGCUCGUAUAAUAUUUAAGUGCUGUGCUGAAAUACAAAAAUAUAUAACUUGUCGGUGUAGUUUUGAGAUAAUCCAAUAAAAAAUUUAA
rnacentral:lncRNA from 1 species